ACUGGAUUAAGACUUCAGGAAUACGGAACCAGCUGCUGCCUUUUCUGAGAUCUGAGCAGAGAUGUGCAGUGUAGCUCAAGACAGCCGCAAAUGGGGACCAAAGAGGCACACAAUGCCAACUUCAAAAGAAAGGGUAUAAUUGACUGACUGCAUCAAAGUCUGGUAUGGAAACACCAACGCCCUUGAAUGGAAGUUCCUACAAAAUGUAGUGAAUGCUGCACAGUCCAUCACAAGCAAAGCCCUCCCCAUCAUUGAGCACGUCCACACAGAGCAUCGUCGCAGGAAAGCAGCAUCCAUCAUCAGGGACCCCCACUGCCCAGGAUAUGCUCUUUUCUCACUGCUGCCAUCAGCAAGAAGGUACAGGAGGCUCAGGACUUUAACCACUAGGUUCAGGAACAGUUAUUACCUCUUGCCCAUCAGGAUCCUGAACCAGAGGGGGUAACUUCACUCAACA